CGGGGUAACGGCCCACCAAAGCGACGAUCAGUAGCCGCCCUGAGAGGGUGAACGGCCACAUUGGGACUGAGACACGGCCCAAACUCCUACGGGAGGCAGCAGUGGGGAAUAUUGCACAAUGGGGGAAACCCUGAUGCAGCGACGCCGCGUGAGUGAAGAAGUAUCUCGGUACGUAAAGCUCUAUCAGCAGGGAAGAAAAUGACGGUACCUGACUAAGAAGCCCCGGCUAACUACGUGCCGGCAGCCGCGGUAAUACGUAGGGGGCAAGCGUUAUCCGGAUUUACUGGGUGUAAAGGGAGCGUAGACGGCAGCGCAAGUCUGGAGUGAAAUGCCGGGGCCCAACCCCGGAACUGCUUUGGAAACUGUGCAGCUCGAGUGCAGGAGAGGUAAGCGGAAUUCCUAGUGUAGCGGUGAAAUGCGUAGAUAUUAGGAGGAACACCAGUGGCGAAGGCGGCUUACUGGACUGUAACUGACGUUGAGGCUCGAAAGCGUGGGGAGCAAACAGGAUUAGAUACCCUGGUAGUCCACGCCGUAAACGAUGAUUACUAGGUGUCGGGGGGCCAAGGCCCUCCGGUGCCGCCGCAAACG
rnacentral:rRNA from 1 species